GGCACAGAUUUGAAGUAGAGUAGAUUAGUGGAAUUAGUUGACCCUAUUUCUCUAUUCUACUUCAAACUUGUACCC
rnacentral:pre_miRNA from 1 species